rnacentral:rRNA from 1 species
GCGCGAAAACUCCACAAUGUACGGAAGUACGAUGGGGUUAUCUCGAGUGCAGUCCGAUAAGGGCUGCUUUUCCAUAGAGUAAUAUCCUGUGGGAAUAAGAGGGGGGCAAGACUGGUGUCAGCCGCCGCGGUAACACCAGCCCCUCGAGUGGUGGGGACUUUUAUUUGGCCUAAAGCGUCCGUAGCUGGCUGUAUCCGUUUCCCGGCAAAUCCGGCGUCCUAAGCGUCGGGCUUCGGGUAAUACCAUACAGCUAGAGGGUGGGAUAGGUGAGCGGUAUUUCUGGGGUAGGGGCGAAAUCCUUUGAUCCCAGGAGGACCACCAGUGGCGAAGGCUGCUCACUAGAACACGCCUGACGGUCAGGGACGAAAGCUGGGGCAGCGAACCGG